GCCUACGGGAGGCAGCAGUGGGGAAUAUUGGGCAAUGGGCGCAAGCCUGACCCAGCAACGCCGCGUGAAGGAAGAAGGCUUUCGGGUUGUAAACUUCUUUUAUGAGGGACGAAGGAAGUGACGGUACCUCAUGAAUAAGCCACGGCUAACUACGUGCCAGCAGCCGCGGUAAUACGUAGGUGGCGAGCGUUAUCCGGAUUUACUGGGUGUAAAGGGCGUGUAGGCGGGCUUGCAAGUCAGAUGUGAAAACUAUGGGCUCAACCCAUAGCCUGCAUUUGAAACUGUAGGUCUUGAGUGAUGGAGAG
rnacentral:rRNA from 1 species